UUAGGCACUGAAACCGGUGCCCUCCCAGAUGAGAAGACAAGUUUGCGUGAUUCAGACUCUGGGAAUGACACAGAAUCAACAGGCAGCAGCAGGAACUCGGAUAGUAACUCAAUUUUGGGAAUUAUGCCCAAAUUUUGUCCUUCCCGUGUGCCAAGCAAAAGAGAAGGAGGAGAGAGGACCAUAACGAGGACCCCAUCCCCAGCUGAUAGCGAGGUGGUCACAAUUGGU